AUUGAACGCUGGCGGCAGGCCUAACACAUGCAAGUCGAGCGAGCGGCGGACGGGUGAGUAAUGUAUGGGGACUGCCCGAUAGAGGUGAAUAACUACUGGAAACGCUAGUUACUACCGCAUACUAACGGAUAACCUAUGUGGGAUUAGCUAGUAGGUGAGGUAAUGGCUCACCUAGGCGACGAUCCCUAGCCGGUCUGAGAGGAUGAUCAGCCACACUGGGACUGAGACACGGCCCAGACUCCUACGGAGGCAGCAGUGGGGAAUAUUGGACAAUGGGCGAAAUCCUGAUGCAGCCAUGCCGCGUGUAUGAAGAAGGCCCUAGGGUUGUAAAGUACUUUCAGUCGGGAGGCGUUACCGACAGAAGAAGCACCGGCUAACUCCGUGCCAGCAGCCGCGGUAAUUC
rnacentral:rRNA from 1 species